GGGGCAGUAGCUCAGUGGUAGAGCUUCCCCUUCGUACGCGGGAAGACCUGGGUUCGAUUCCCGGGUGCUUUC
rnacentral:tRNA from 1 species